AGCGAAUGGAUUAAGAGCUUGCUCUUAUGAAGUUAGCGGCGGACGGGUGAGUAACACGUGGGUAACCUGCCCAUAAGACUGGGAUAACUCCGGGAAACCGGGGCUAAUACCGGAUAACAUUUUGAACUGCAUGGUUCGAAAUUGAAAGGCGGCUUCGGCUGUCACUUAUGGAUGGACCCGCGUCGCAUUAGCUAGUUGGUGAGGUAACGGCUCACCAAGGCAACGAUGCGUAGCCGACCUGAGAG
rnacentral:rRNA from 1 species